rnacentral:rRNA from 1 species
AUGAACGCUAGCGGGAGGCCUAACACAUGCAAGCCGAGCGGUAUUGUUUCUUCGGAAAUGAGAGAGCGGCGUACGGGUGCGUAACACGUGUGCAACCUGCCUUUAUCUGGGGGAUAGCCUUUCGAAAGGAAGAUUAAUACUCCAUAAUAUAUUGAACGGCAUCGUUUAAUAUUGAAAGCUCCGGCGGAUAGAGAUGGGCACGCGCAAGAUUAGCUAGUUGGUGAGGUAACGGCUCACCAAGGCGAUGAUCUUUAGGGGGCCUGAGAGGGUGAUCCCCCACACUGGUACUGAGACACGGACCAGACUCCUACGGGAGGCAGCAGUGAGGAAUAUUGGUCAAUGGGUGCAAGCCUGAACCAGCCAUCCCGCGUGAAGGACGACUGCCCUAUGGGUUGUAAACUUCUUUUGUAUAGGGAUAAACCUACCCUCGAGAGGGUAGCUGAAGGUACUAUACGAAUAAGCACCGGCUAACUCCGUG